GGAGAAUCACCGACAGAUGGAAGUGUUUUUGAAUAUUGGAGAAGCUUGCAAGCUCGAGUCCUCUUUCGUUUGGCGCACGAAACAAGAAAAUAUUUUCCCAAGAUGGAAGAUUACUUGCUAUACUGUAUCAUCUUUAUGGGGUUUCACACCAUCAAUUUCUUGAUGAACUUGAAGAAGAAGAAGCUUAAAAUACUUCCGGUUUUCCCAACCGAGAAAGAGUUGUUACUAUAUAUAGUAUGGCCGACUAACGUCUCGAAAAAAUAUAUCGUUUUGGCACUUGUACAAGAAGAGGCAAUAUCCGCUGACGAUUAAGAGAUUGUUACAAAAAUGGGAUACCGUUUAAACGUUUUUUUUUCUCCCACAAUAUUGUAACACAACGCCUCAAGUAAAAGAGAAGUGAAGGAAAAAAACGUAUCAGAUACUCUACCCAAGAAGAGAGAGGAGAAAAAAAAUUUAAGACAAUAAGCUGGUUAAGUCAAGGUUAAGUCAAGGUCAUUCAAGGUCAUUCAAGGUCAUUCAAGGUCAUUUGAAGGUCAAGUCAAGGACAUUCAAAGUCGUAUGAAGGUCAUUCAAGGUCAUUUGAAGGUCAAGUCAAGGUCAUUUGAAGGUCAAGUCAAGGACAUUCAAGGUCAUAUGAAGGUCAAAUCAAGGACAUUCAAGGUCAUAUGAAGGUCAUUCAAGGUCAAAUCAAGGACAUUCAAGGUCAUAUGAAGGUCAUUCAAGGUCAUUUGAAGGUCAAAUCAAGGAUAUUCAAGGUCAUAUGAAGGUCAUUCAAGAUCAAGUCAAGGUCAUUCAAGGUCAAGUCAAGGUCAUUCAAGG